CAGGACGAACGCUGGCGGCGUGCCUAAUACAUGCAAGUCGAGCGGACAGAUGGGAGCUUGCUCCCUGAUGUUAGCGGCGGACGGGUGAGUAACACGUGGGUAACCUGCCUGUAAGACUGGGAUAACUCCGGGAAACCGGGGCUAAUACCGGAUGCUUGUUUGAACCGCAUGGUUCAGACAUAAAAGGUGGCUUCGGCUACCACUUACAGAUGGACCCGCGGCGCAUUAGCUAGUUGGUGAGGUAACGGCUCACCAAGGCGACGAUGCGUAGCCGACCUGAGAGGGUGAUCGGCCACACUGGGACUGAGACACGGCCCAGACUCCUACGGGAGGCAGCAGUAGGGAAUCUUCCGCAAUGGACGAAAGUCUGACGGAGCAACGCCGCGUGAGUGAUGAAGGUUUUCGGAUCGUAAAGCUCUGUUGUUAGGGAAGAACAAGUGCCGUUCAAAUAGGGCGGCACCUUGACGGUACCUAACCAGAAAGCCACGGCUAACUACGUGCCAGCAGCCGCGGUAAUACGUAGGUGGCAAGCGUUGUCCGGAAUUAUUGGGCGUAAAGGGCUCGCAGGCGGUUUCUUAAGUCUGAUGUGAAAGCCCCCGGCUCAACCGGGGAGGGUCAUUGGAAACUGGGGAACUUGAGUGCAGAAGAGGAGAGUGGAAUUCCACGUGUAGCGGUGAAAUGCGUAGAGAUGUGGAGGAACACCAGUGGCGAAGGCGACUCUCUGGUCUGUAACUGACGCUGAGGAGCGAAAGCGUGGGGAGCGAACAGGAUUAGAUACCCUGGUAGUCCACGCCGUAAACGAUGAGUGCUAAGUGUUAGGGGGUUUCCGCCCCUUAGUGCUGCAGCUAACGCAUUAAGCACUCCGCCUGGGGAGUACGGUCGCAAGACUGAAACUCAAAGGAAUUGACGGGGGCCCGCACAAGCGGUGGAGCAUGUGGUUUAAUUCGAAGCAACGCGAAGAACCUUACCAGGUCUUGACAUCCUCUGACAAUCCUAGAGAUAGGACGUCCCCUUCGGGGGCAGAGUGACAGGUGGUGCAUGGUUGUCGUCAGCUCGUGUCGUGAGAUGUUGGGUUAAGUCCCGCAACGAGCGCAACCCUUGAUCUUAGUUGCCAGCAUUCAGUUGGGCACUCUAAGGUGACUGCCGGUGACAAACCGGAGGAAGGUGGGGAUGACGUCAAAUCAUCAUGCCCCUUAUGACCUGGGCUACACACGUGCUACAAUGGACAGAACAAAGGGCAGCGAAACCGCGAGGUUAAGCCAAUCCCACAAAUCUGUUCUCAGUUCGGAUCGCAGUCUGCAACUCGACUGCGUGAAGCUGGAAUCGCUAGUAAUCGCGGAUCAGCAUGCCNGCGGUGAAUACGUUCCCGGGCCUUGUACACACCGCCCGUCACACCACGAGAGUUUGUAACACCCGAAGUCGGUGAGGUAACCUUUUAGGAGCCAGCCGCC
rnacentral:rRNA from 1 species